UACGGGGGGAGCAAGCGUUGUUCGGAUUUACUGGGCGUAAAGGGCUCGUAGGCGGUAGCACAAGUCAGUUGUGAAAUCUCCGGGCUUAACUCGGAAAGGUCAACUGAUACUGUGCGACUAGAGUGCAGAAGGGGCAACUGGAAUUCUCGGUGUAGCGGUGAAAUGCGUAGAUAUCGAGAGGAACACCUGCGGCGAAGGCGGGUUGCUGGGCUGACACUGACGCUGAGGCGCGAAAGCCAGGGGAGCGAACGGG
rnacentral:rRNA from 1 species